UAGGGAAUCUUCGGCAAUGGGGGGAACCCUGACCGAGCAACGCCGCGUGAGUGAAGAAGGUUUUCGGAUCGUAAAGCUCUGUUGUUAAGGAAGAACGAGUGUGAGAAUGGAAAGUUCAUACUGUGACGGUACUUAACCAGAAAGGGACGGCUAACUACGUGCCAGCAGCCGCGGUAAUACGUAGGUCCCGAGCGUUGUCCGGAUUUAUUGGGCGUAAAGCGAGCGCAGGCGGUUAGAUAAGUCUGAAGUUAAAGGCAGUGGCUCAACCAUUGUAGGCUUUGGAAACUGUUUAACUUGAGUGCAGAAGGGGAGGGUGGAAUUCCGUGUGUAGCGGUGAAAUGCGUAGAUAUAUGGAGGAACACCGGUAGCGAAAGCGUCUCUCUGGUCUGUAACUGACGCUGAGGCUCGAAAGCGUGGGGAGCGAACAGA
rnacentral:rRNA from 1 species